UUCUAAAGCUAAAUACCGGCCAGAGACCGAUAGCGCACAAGUAGAGUGAUCGAAAGAUGAAAAGCACUUUGAAAAGAGGGUUAAACAGCACGUGAAAUUGUUAAAAGGGAAGCGCUUGUGACCAGACUUGCGUCCGGUGAAUCACCCAGCUCUCGCGGCUGGGGCACUUCGCCGGCUCAGGCCAGCAUCAGCUCGCUGUCGGGGACAAAAGCUUCAGGAACGUAGCUCUCUUCGGGGAGUGUUAUAGCCUGUUGCAUAAUACCCUUCGGCGGGCUGAGGUACGCGCUCCGCAAGGAUGCUGGCAUAAUGGUCAUCAGCGACCCGU
rnacentral:rRNA from 1 species